UACGGGGGGGGGCAAGCGUUGUUCGGAAUCACUAGGCGUAAAGCGCAGGUAGGCGGUUUGGUAAGUCUUUUGUGAAAGCUCCCGGCUCAACUGGGAGAGGUCAAGGGAAACUACCGGACUAGAGUGUGGUAGGGGAUACUGGAAUUCCUGGUGUAGCGGUGAAAUGCGUAGAUAUCAGGAGGAAUACCUAUGGCGAAAGCAGGUAUCUGGGCCAUCACUGACGCUGAGCUGCGAAAGCUAGGGGAGCAAACAGG
rnacentral:rRNA from 1 species